UACAGAGGGUGCGAGCGUUUGUCCGGAAUCACUGGGCGUAAAGGGCGCGUAGGUGGCGACCCAAGUCGAUGGUGAAAGCUCGCCGCUCAACGGCGAGUCGGCCACCGAUACUGGGUUGCUGGAGCACUGUAGAGGCUCAUGGAAUUCCGGGGUGUAGCGGUGGAAUGCGUAGAGAGUCCGGAAGAACACCGGUGGCGAAGGCGGUGAGCUGGGCGAGUUGCUGACA
rnacentral:rRNA from 1 species